rnacentral:rRNA from 1 species
UACGAAGGGGGCUAGCGUUGUCCGGAAUUAUUGGGCGUAAAGAGCUCGUAGGCGGUUUGUCGCGUCUGCUGUGAAAUCCCAGGGCUUAACCCUGGGCCUGCAGUGGGUACGGGCAAACUAGAGUGCGGUAGGGGAGAUCGGAAUUCCUGGUGUAGCGGUGAAAUGCGCAGAUAUCAGGAGGAACACCGGUGGCGAAGGCGGAUCUCUGGGCCGUAACUGACGCUGAGGAGCGAAAGCUAGGGGAGCAAACAGG